rnacentral:lncRNA from 1 species
UUUUAACAGACGAUUUGCGUCUAUCCCCUUAAGUUAGCUGUUGUUUUUAUUAUAAAAAAUCCCAAAUAUAUCCCAAAACUCCUUAAGUAUAUUUUAGUUUUUGAUUUAGUAGAUUUUAGCUAAAAAAUGGUAAUUACCAGUUGGUGGUUUGGAAUAAUUAGGUUUCCAUUUUUUUGGAAUUCCUCUUGGGACAUUUAGGACGGAUGUGCAUAUUACUGUAUUACUGUAUAUAUUUACAUGGCCUAAAAACAAUCUACUGAUUUUGUGAAAACAAAACUACUGAAAGAGUAAAAACUGACCUGGCAACCCUGUCUACGAAAGCUGAUACAAAGAUUAAGGUUAUCAAAUCUCAAAUCUACUGAUAAAACAAUGGAAUGGAAACCAGCUAU